rnacentral:rRNA from 1 species
GUCCUUUUGUUAUAUAUUUAAGGUUUAACCUGCCCACUGAAUAAUUUAAAUGGCCGCAGUAUUUUAACUGUGCAAAGGUAGCAUAAUCAUUAGUUUUUUAAUUAAAAGCUUGUAUGAAAGGUUGGACGAGGUAAAAACUGUCUUUAUUUAAUUAAUUAUAAAAUUUAAUUUUUAAGUUAAAAAGCUUAAAUUUUUUUAAAAGACGAGAAGACCCUAUAGAUCUUUAUAUUUAUUAUUUUAUUUUUAAUUAAGAUUUAUUUAAAUUUUAUUAUAUUAAAUAUUUUAUUGGGGUAAUAAGAAGAUUAAAAAAAUUCUUUUAUUUAUUAUUCAUUGAUUAAUGUUUUAAUGAUCCAAUUUUAUUGAUUAUAAGAUUAAGUUACCUUAGGGAUAACAGCGUAAUUUUUUUAGAGAGUUCAUAUCGAUAAAAAAGUUUGCGACCUCGAUGUUGGAUUAAAGAUUAAUUUAGGUGUAGAUGUUUAAAUUUUUGGUCUGUUCGACCAUUAAAUCUUUACAUGAUCUGAGUUCAGACCGGUGUAAGCCAGGUCGGUUUCUAUCUUUAAUAAAAUAAUAUAUUUUAGUACGAAAGGACCAAAUAUAUAAUAUAUAUAUUUAUUAAUUUUUGAAUAUUAUUAAUUAUUUUGGCAGAUUAGUGCAAUGAAUUUAGAAUUCAUAUAUGUAAAUUUUUACAAGUAAUACUUGUUUUAUAUAGAUAUAAUAUUUUCUUUUAUUUGUAUAUUAUUAUUAAUUAUUUGUGUAUUA